UACGGGGGGGGGCAAGCGUUGUUCGGAAUUACUGGGCGUAAAGGGCUCGUAGGCGGCCAACUAAGUCGGAUGUGAAAUCCCCAGGCUUAACCUGGGAACUGCAUCCGAUACUGGAUGGCUUGAAUUCGGGAGAGGGAUGCAGAAUUCCAGGUGUAGCGGUGAAAUGCGUAGAUAUCUGGAGGAAUACCGGUGGCGAAGGCGGCAUCCUGGACCAACACUGACACUGAGGAGCGAAAGCCAGGGGAGCAAACGGG
rnacentral:rRNA from 1 species